rnacentral:rRNA from 1 species
GACGAACGCUGGCGGCGUGCUUAACACAUGCAAGUCGAACGGAAAGGCCCCUUUGGGGGUACUCGAGUGGCGUACGGGUGAGUAACACGUGAGUAACCUGCCCUUGACUUCGGGAUAACUUCAGGAAACUGGGGCUAAUACCGGAUAGGAAUCCUUGCUGCAUGGUGGGGGUUGGAAAGCUUCGGUGGUUUUGGAUGGACUCGCGGCCUAUCAGCUUGUUGGUGGGGUAGUGGCUUACCAAGGCUUUGACGGGUAGCCGGCCUGAGAGGGCGACCGGCCACAUUGGGACUGGGACACAGACCAGACUCCUACGGGAGGCAGAAGUAGGGAAUAUUGCACAAUGGGCAGGAGCCUGAUGCAGCAACGCCGCGGGCGGGAUGACGGCCAUCGGGUUGUAAACCGCUUUCAGCAGGGGCGAAGCUUGUGGUGACGGUACCUGCAGAAGAAGCACCGGCUAACUACGUG